GUCACACCUUGUAGAGACACAGAACAGGACUUUCGGUACUGCUGUAGUAAGUGGCAAGAGUGACAGGGUAAGUGUAUUCAAACAAAGGGAGGAUUUUGACAGGGCUUCAUGGCCAUGUGUCUUUUAUGCUUGGGUUCGUUUUUUUGAGCCAGGGCCUUACUAUAGUUCAGGCUGGCCUGGAACUCACAGUGACCCUCCUGCCUCAGCCCCUGAGUGCUGGGAUGACAGGCAUGCAUCACUGUGCCUAUCUAAAUUUAAACAUUCAUCAUGUAUUUCAAUGCACCUCACCGAUCUAACUCAGUAGCUUUUGGGUGCAGCCACAAAUUCUGCCUUUCCUACAUCCCCCAGGGUGUCCAGCUGCUGUUCUGUGGGCCUCCUUCUCAAGGCCAGGGCUUUAAGGAGCCCUAAUUGUGUGGCCUUAAGAGCUGCCCCCAGCCACUUUUAGCACUGCCUGCCUGGCAGAGGAUGGGACUUCCAAUCCCCCAAACUUUAUUUUUCCAUCAGUGACCGCUUCUCCUUCCUAUUCCUUUCCCUUUCCUUCUCCCUCUCAAGAUACAGAGUCUUGCUAAAUGCCCAGGCUGGGCUCAGACUUCCUGCCUCAGCCUCCUAGUGUGCUGAGAUUAUAGGAAUGUGGCGCCAUGCUUGAACAGUGACCAUGUCUUUACCAUUUGGUUCUUCAGGAAGUUGUGCCAUCUCUUUCACGUGUGUCCUUACCUGCCAUCUUCACAACUAUCUGAGGCCUGGAAAGCCCUGCCUCUGUUCCAGGUGUCGGUUGUGCAGCAGCCUGACCCUCUCCUGUCCCCGGCCUGUAUGGAUGCCUGGGGAGGCAGAGUACUGCCAGGCAGAAUGGGCUCCCUGCGGGGCUGGUGACCUGAUUCUAGGCCUGAGCUCAGCAGGCCGCCUCCUGGUGGGAUGCGUACUUGUCAUUAAAUGUGGUGGCUUCAUCUAGGACCAGUUCCUCCAGGAUGGAGUAGAAAGUUGUAUUCUGUCCCUUCCUAUUUUAAAAUUGAGGAAGCUGACCCGGGAUUUAGCUUAGCAGCACAAGCC